rnacentral:rRNA from 1 species
UUUUAUAAUUUAUAUAUUUAAGGUUAUUAAUAAAUAAAAAAUUUUUAAUUAUAUAAUUUAUUUUAUUGGGGUGAUAAAAAAAUAAAAAUAACUUUUUUUAAUUAUAAACAUAAAUAAGUGAGUGAAUGAUCCUAUUUUAUUGAUUAAAAGAAAAA